AACGAACGCUGGCGGCAUGCCUAACACAUGCAAGUCGAACGAGACCUUCGGGUCUAGUGGCGCACGGGUGCGUAACGCGUGGGAAUCUGCCCUUGGGUUCGGAAUAACAGUGAGAAAUUACUGCUAAUACCGGAUGAUGUCUUCGGACCAAAGAUUUAUCGCCCAGGGAUGAGCCCGCGUAGGAUUAGCUAGUUGGUGGGGUAAUGGCCUACCAAGGCGACGAUCCUUAGCUGGUCUGAGAGGAUGAUCAGCCACACUGGGACUGAGACACGGCCCAGACUCCUACGGGAGGCAGCAGUGGGGAAUAUUGGACACUGGGCGCAAGCCUGAUCCAGCCAUGCCGCGUGAGUGAUGAAGGCCUUAGGGUUGUAAAGCUCUUUUACCCGGGAUGAUAAUGACAGUACCGGGAGAAUAAGCUCCGGCUAACUCCGUG
rnacentral:rRNA from 1 species